rnacentral:rRNA from 1 species
UCAUCGAUCUCCUCGGGGAGGGGCCCACGAGCGCGUGGGGCGCACGGGGGCCUGUGGGGACGUGAGGGUGCGUGGGGGUGGGGGUGUGGGGAGUGCUGACUCGGAUUCAAUGGCCCCGGACGUGUCAUGUCCAUAGCCCUGGCGUGGAGAUCGUGAGGGGAGAGAAUGACCUUCGUGGAUGCCGUACCGGGUGCCGCCCCGAACGCCUCGGCGGCUGCCGAGGGACUGCCGUUCUUCGUCUACGGCACCUCCCGCCCCGGCGCCCUCAACCACACCCGCUUCCUCAGCGGCCGCACCCGCUCCGAGGAACCGGCCCACCUCACCGGCGCCACCCUGUACCCCGGCCCCGGCUGCCCCUACGCCGUCGAGGGCCCCGACGGAGUGGUGACCGGCGACCUCGUCACCGCCCGGCCCGAGGCGUACGCCGACCUGCUCGCCACCCUCGACCGGCUGGAGGAGUACACGCCGGGGGACCCGCGCGACCUCUACGACCGGGUCGCGAGGAACGUCGCACGGACCGCCGACGGCACGCUCGUCCGCGCCUGGGUCCACGUCGCCGCCCCGGCCGUCGCCGCCCGGCUGCGUGCCCGGGCGAGGCCGAUCGCGGGCGGGGAGUGGCGGAUCGCGAGCCGGUGAGCCCGGCGGGCGGCCCUAAGGCGCCACCGGCUCCACCCGCACCGCGCACACCUUGAACUCCGGCAUCCGCGAGGUCGGGUCCAGCGCCGGAUUGGUCAGCGUGUUGGCGCGGCCCUCGCCCGGCCAGUGGAAGGGCAUGAAGACCGUGUCGGGGCGGAUGGCGGUGGUGAUGCGGGCCGGAGCAACGGCCCGGCCGCGCCGGGAGACGACGGCCACCGGAUCGCCCUCGGCCGCCCCGAGCCGCGCCGCCAGCCGCGGGUGCAGUUCCACGAAGGGGCCGGGCGCGGCGGCGUUCAGCUCGCCCACCCGCCGGGUCUGCGCGCCGGACUGGUACUGCGCCACGACCCGCCCGGUGGUCAGCAGCACCGGGUACGCCUCGUCCGGCUCCUCGGCGCUCGGCCGGUGUGAGACGGGGGCGAACCUGGCCCGGCCGUCGUCGGUGGCGAAACGGUCGAGGAAGAGGCGGGGGGUGCCCGGAUGCCGGUCGGCCCCGCCGCGGUCGGUCUCCCCGGGCGCCGGGCACGGCCAGAACACCCCGUUCUCCUCCGCGAGCCGCCGGUAGUCGAUCCCGGAGUAGUCGGCGGGCCCGCCCGCGCUCGCCCGGCGCAGUUCCUCGAACACCUCCUCCGGCUCGGUCGGGAAGCCCUUGUCCACCCCGAGCCGGCCGGCCAGUUCGUGCAGCACCUCCAGGUCGCUGCGGAUCCCGUCGGGCGGCGUGAUCGCGCGCCGCCGCAGCAGCACCCGCCCCUCCAGGCUGGUCGUCGUCCCCGUCUCCUCCGCCCACUGCGUCACCGGCAGCACCACGUCCGCCAGCGCCGCCGUCUCGGAGAGCACCACGUCGCACACGGCCAGGAAGUCCAGCGACCGCAGCCGCCCCUCGACGUGCGCGGCCCGCGGCGCCGACACCACCGGGUUGGACCCCAUCACCAGCAGCGACCUGAUGUCCGUUCCCAGCGCGUCCAGCAGCUCGUACGCACUGCGCCCCGGCCCCGGCAACGAGUCGGGGUCGACACCCCACACCCGGGCCACGUGCCGCCGCGCCGCCGGGUCGGUCAGCUUCCGGUAACCCGGCAACUGGUCGGCCUUCUGCCCGUGCUCGCGCCCGCCCUGCCCGUUGCCCUGCCCCGUCAGGCAGCCGUACCCGGACAGGGGCCGGCCGGCCCGCCCGGUCGCCAGGCACAGGUUGAUCCACGCGCCCACCGUGUCCGUCCCCUUGGCCUGCUGCUCGGGCCCCCGCGCGGUCAGCACCAUCGCCGCGUCCGGCGCGCAGAACAGCCGCACCGCCUCCCGCAGUUCGGGGACGGACACUCCCGUGAUCCGCUCCACGUACUCCGGCCAGUGCGCCAUCGCCGCCGCCCGCGCGUCCUCCCAGCCCGAGGUGCGCUCCUCGACGUACUCCGCGUCCACCCGUCCCUCGGCGACGACCAGGUGCAGCAUCCCCAGCGCGAGCGCGAGGUCCGUGCCGGGCCGGGGCGCGAGAUGCAGGUCGGCCUGUUCCGCGGUCCUGGUGCGCCGCGGGUCGACGACGAUCAGCGUGCCGCCGUUCUCGCGCAGCUCGGUGAAGUACCGCAAGGACGGCGGCAUCGUCUCCGCCGGGUUCGAGCCGACGAGGAUGACGCACCCCGUCCUCGGGAUGUCCUCCAGCGGGAACGGCAGCCCCCGGUCGAGCCCGAACGCCUUCGUGCCGGCCGCCGCCGCCGACGACAUGCAGAACCGCCCGUUGUAGUCGAUCUGCGAGGUCCCCAGCACCACCCGAGCGAACUUCCCCAGCGCGUACGCCUUCUCGUUGGUCAGCCCGCCCCCGCCGAACACCCCGAGCGCGUCCGCGCCGUGCUCGGCACGCGUACCGGAGAGGUUCGCGGCGAUCCGCCCCAGCGCCUCCUCCCAGCUCGCCGGCACGAGCACCCCCUCGCCCGACCGCACCAGCGGCGACGUCAGGCGGACCCCGGACGAGAGCACCGCCGGCGCCGUCCGCCCCUUGCCGCACAGCGCGCCCCGGUUGACGGGGAAGUCCGCGCGUUCGGAGACCUCGACGGUCCCGCCCUCCACGGGCGUCAGGUUCAUCCCGCACUGCAGGGCGCAGUACGGGCAGUGCGUGGGCGUGGCGGUGUUCUGCAUGCCGCCAGCGUGCGACGCGCGUGUUACGCGUCCGGUCCGCCGUUUGUUACACCGCCGGGACGGUGACCUCCCCGGCGCUCACCGGCCGCCGUGAGGGCCGCGUCACCGGUUCGGCGCGCACGGGUCAGGGCCCGCUCCACGCCCGGCUCCCUCGGCCCCAGGAAGCGCGGGUCCGGCUCGAAGACCGCGUCCAGCGCCGCCUUGCCCGCCGCGAGGAUCUCCCGCGCGCCUCCGUAGUACCAGGUCAGGUCGUGCCGGUCGUCGACCCCGACGCCGUACGACGCCACCCCGGCCUCCUGGCACAGCGCCACCGCCCGCCGGAUGUGGAAGCCCUGGCUGAUCAGCACCGCCCGGUCGACCCCGAAGAUCUUCUUCGCCCGGACGCAGGAGUCC